rnacentral:ncRNA from 1 species
ACAAAGUUUUGGUCCUAAACUUGCCCUUGUUUUUAAUAAAAAUUACACAUGCAAGCCUCCCCGCACCAGUGAGAAUGCCCACAUCAACCCAAACAGUCCUAAGGAGCAGGCAUCAGGAACACAAACCAUUCGCCCAAAACGCCUUGCUACGCCACACCCACAAGGGUACUCAGCAGUGAAAGACAUUAACAAUAAGCGAAAGCUUGACUUAGUUAUUAUUAAUUAUGGUCGGUAAAUUUCGUGCCAGCCACCGCGGUUAUACGAAAGACCAAAAACAAUGGCCCACGGCGUAAAGAGUGACAAGAGCCACCACAACCCUCUAAAGGAAAACCUCAACAAAGUUGUAAAAUACCCACGAUUGUAGGAACCUCAACAACAACCUGCCUUUAAACCACUCAGCCUCACGAAAACUGAGAAACAAACUGGGAUUAGAUACCCCACUAUGCUCAGCCGUCAACAAAAACAGUACAUACACAAGACUGUUCGCCAGAGAACUACAAGNNNNNNNCUAGAAACUCCAAGGACUUGGCGGUGCUCCACAUCAACCUAGAGGAGCCUGUCCUAUAAUCGAUACCCCCCGAUCUACCCCACCACCUCUUGAAACUCAGCCUAUAUACCGCCGUCGUCAGCCUACCCUGUGAGAGAAAGAAAGUAAGCAAAACAGUUAUCAACUAAAACGUCAGGUCAAGGUGUAGCUUAUGAGGUGGAAGAGAUGGGCUACACUCUCUCCCCCAGAGAACACGAAUAGCAAAAUGAAAUCCUGCUUAAAGGUGGAUUUAGCAGUAAGAUAGACAAGAACACCAAUCUUAAACUCGCCCUGGAGCGCGCACACACCGC